UACGGGGGGGGCAAGCGUUGUUCGGAAUUACUGGGCGUAAAGGGCUCGUAGGCGGCCAACUAAGUCGGACGUGAAAUCCCCAGGCCCAACCUGGGAACUGCGUCCGAUACUGGAUGGCUUGAAUCCGGGAGAGGGAUGCAGAAUUCCAGGUGUAGCGGUGAAAUGCGUAGAUAUCUGGAGGAAUACCGGUGGCGAAGGCGGCAUCCUGGACCGGCAUUGACGCUGAGGAGCGAAAGCUAGGGGAGCAAACGGG
rnacentral:rRNA from 1 species